rnacentral:rRNA from 1 species
GACGAACGCUGGCGGCGUGCUUAACACAUGCAAGUCGAACGGAAAGGCCCUGCUUUUGUGGGUUGCUCGAGUGGCGAACGGGUGAGUAACACGUGAGUAACCUGCCCUUGACUUUGGGAUAACUUCAGGAAACUGGGGCUAAUACCGGAUAGGAGCUCCUGCUGCAUGGUGGGGGUUGGAAAGUUUCGGCGGUUGGGGAUGGACUCGCGGCUUAUCAGCUUGUUGGUGGGGUAGUGGCUUACCAAGGCUUUGACGGGUAGCCGGCCUGAGAGGGUGACCGGCCAAAUGGGGACUGAGAUACGGCCCAGACUCCUACGGGAGGCAGCAGGGGGGAAUAUUGCAGAAUGGGCGGAAGCCUGAUGCAGCAACGCCGCGUGCGGGAUGACGGCCUUCGGGUUGUAAACCGCUUUCGCAUGUGACGAAGAGUGAGUGACGGUAAUGGGUAAAGAAGCACCGGCUAACUACGUG